GGCGCGUUCGUCUAGUGGUUAGGACGCUGGGUUUUCAUCCCAGUAAUCGCGGGUUCGAAUCCCGCACGCGCUA
rnacentral:tRNA from 1 species